UACGUAGGUGGCAAGCGUUGUCCGGAAUCACUGGGCGUAAAGCGCGCGCAGGCGGCGAUCUACGUCUGGGGUGAAAGCCCGGAGCUCAACUCCGGGACUGCCUUGGAUACGGGAUCGCUUGAGGGUUGGAGAGGCAAGGGGAAUUCCACGUGUAGCGGUGAAAUUCGUAGAUAUCAGGAGGAACACCGGUGGCGAAGGCGGCUUUCUGGACACUUACUGACGCUGAGACGCGAAAGCGUGGGGAGCAAACAGG
rnacentral:rRNA from 1 species